GAUAACUUUUUUUGGGGGGGGGGUACCGUAGGUCGCAAAGGCUGUCAGAAGAGCUGUAGUUCACACUUCUCAAAUAUUAACAACGUAUUCUUUGAUGUUGUAUGUCAAACGCUGAUUGGACGAGCAGUUCAUAUCCGGUAGUACACGGAAUGAUAACAGUGGAGUUGUUCGAGAAGCGUCCUGCAGAACAAGUUGGUCUUGACGAACGUUUUUAAAACUCGUCUGGCAAAAAUGAUGAAAACACAGAGGUCGCCAUGAUUUCUUAGAGGAAGAUUAUGAAAACAUUCGGGUGAAGCAUGAAGAAAUGGAAGAGAAUGCUAGAGAAAUGUGUACGGCUGAAGAAGAAAAUGAAAACAAGGAGUUGGGACCCUAUGCCCGGGUGAUAGAAUGUACAGACCUACUAUAUUAUGUUGUCUUGGCUCCAUAGAUUUGUGAAACACCGAGAAACUGAGUCCAUCUUCGGCACAAUUGAAGGCGAGUUUAAUUUGGGCACAUCUACACACAAUCCUGAAGAGGAUGAAAGUCUGGGCGCCACCAUGGCUUGCCAUUGACCUUUGGGCAGGAGGUCCCAACACCAUAGAGGAAGAGAAUGUCCGGGUGGGGAGGGAUGCUUUUCGCCAGGACACUGUGCCUCACUGAUAUCACAGCCAAAUGCUGUGACUUCCAGCCAAGCGGCUGGCGACUACUGAGCUCAAAGAACUGUCCUUCCUCUCAGAAGCACAUCAGCGGUAGCAGUACUAAUAUUAAGGACAUUCAUUUGGACGUUGGCAGUAUAAGCAUGUUUAUCAUUUCCCAUGUUUGUGUACUUUGUUGCCAUUCAUAAAUAAUUUUGAGCUGGAA